CAGCCCUUGACAUGUCCUUUAUGGAUCCCAGAGACGGAGUCCUUCACUUCGGGUGGGAGGAACACAGGUGCUGCAUGGCUGUCGUCAGCUCGUGUCGUGAGAUGUUGGGUUAAGUCCCGCAACGAGCGCAACCCACGCCCUUAGUUGCCAUCAUUUAGUUGGGCACUCUAAGGGGACUGCCGGUGAUAAGCCGGAGGAAGGUGGGGAUGACGUCAAGUCCUCAUGGCCCUUACGGGCUGGGCUACACACGUGCUACAAUGGCGGUGACAGAGGGAUGCAAAGGGGCGACCCUUCGCAAAUCUCAAAAAUCCGUCUCAGUUCGGAUUGGGGUCUGCAACUCGACCCCAUGAAGUUGGAAUCGCUAGUAAUCGCAGAUCAGCACGCUGCGGUGAAUACGUU
rnacentral:rRNA from 1 species